CUUUUCGAGGUAGGAGUCGACUCCUGUGAGGUAUGGUGCUGGGUGCAGAUGCAGUGUGGCUCUGGAUAGCACCUUAUGGACAGUUGUGUCCCCAAGGAAGGAUGAGAAUAGCUACUGAAGUCCUAAAGAGCAAGCCUAACUCAAGCCAUUGGCACACAGGCAUUAGACAGAAAGCUGGAAGUUGAAAUGGUGGAGUCCAACUUGCCUGGACCAGCUUAAUGGUUCUGCUCCUGGUAACGUUUUUAUCCAUGGAUGACUUGCUUGGGUAAGGACAUGAAGACAGUUCCUGUCAUACCUUUUAAAGGUAUGGAGAGUCGGCUUGACUACACUGUGUGGAGCAAGUUUUAAAGAAGCAAAGGCAGACCUGUUAUCCUAAACUAGGGUUUUUAAUGACCACAACAAGCAAGCAUGCAGCUUACUGCUUGAAAGGGUCUUGCCUCACCCAAGCUAGAGUGCAGUGGCCUUUGAAGCUUACUACAGCCUCAAACUUCUGGGCUCAAGUGAUCCUCAGCCUCCCAGUGGUCUUUGUAGACUGCCUGAUGGAGUCUCAUGGCACAAGAAGAUUAAAACAGUGUCUCCAAUUUUAAUAAAUUUUUGCAAUCCAU
rnacentral:lncRNA from 1 species